UACAGAGGGUGCGAGCGUUGUUCGGAAUUACUGGGCGUAAAGCGCGCGCAGGCGGCCUUUUAAGUCUGCUGGUGAAAUGCCGGGGCUCAACCCCGUGCCCGCCACAGAUACUGGGAGGCUGGAGACGAGUAGAGGCAAGCGGAAUUCCGGGUGUAGCGGUGGAAUGCGUAGAGAUCCGGAAGAACACCGGAGGCGAAGGCGGCUUGCUGGGCUCGGUCUGACGCUGAGGCGCGAAAGCGUGGGGAGCAAACGGG
rnacentral:rRNA from 1 species